UGAUCAAGGGCCGCGGGCAGCGCCGGAGCGCAGCGCCCGUCUGAUGCUGCCCGCCCAGAGGCCCCGUCGAACAAAGGCAGCAUUGAGGCCCCGAGCUGCGUCCCCAAGCCCGGACCCCCCCUCUGGGCUGGCAUCUUGGCGCGACAUUAAUGAACUCGCCUGUUUGUGCUCCCCUGGCCCCUCUCUCCUCCCACCACCCGGGGGGCACUGUAUAUAUCCGCGCCUCCUCGCCCGCCUCGGGCACUUUAGGGCUCACACCCUAAAACCUUUGCCUGGCUGGGAUCGAGCAAGGAGGGAAGAGGAUGUGGGGUGCUGUCCCCAUGGUCCACCUGUCCUCCCCCGUGAUGCUGCUGCUCCUACAGCUGGCUGGGGGUGCUCCCAUGGGCCAGGGGCUGUACCCCAUGCCAGCUAGCGUCCUGCAAGCACUGUCGAGCCGGGGGACGCUGGUGUUGGAAGCAGCACUGAGGAGCGCGCUGCUGGCACUGGAGCAGGCACUGGCUGAGCAGCAGAAGCAACGGGGUGCCUGUGGGCUCUGUGCUCCCUGCCUCUUCCCUCCCUGUGCCAACAUCACCCGAAGCUGCCCACCCCCUGCCAUGCCCCUUGCCGUGCCCCCCAGCUGCCAGGCCCUGCUGGAUGCCCAGGAUCUGCCCGAACUGCCCCAACGCCACUGGGCUCUGAGCCAGGCGUGUGCCUCCUACCUGCGCCUGUGCCCCCCCCAGGGCACUCAGCCUGCCUGCACCCUGCUCAGUGCCCAGCGCUGCCAGCACCGCCUCCAGGAGUGCCUGCUGGCGAAGGCAGCCCCAGAUCCCAGCAUAGCAGCAACGAUGCCAGAGCGCUGCGGGAGCCGGGCGGACCCCUCCAUCAACAGCACAGCCCCACGAGGACGCAUCAUGGGCGGCAGCGUGGCCCGGCGCGGGGCUUGGCCAUGGCUGGUGUCGGUGCGGCUGCACGGGGAGCUGGUGUGCGGUGGGGUGUUGGUGAGCCACACGUGGGCCCUCACUGCUGCCCACUGCUUCAACGGGAACCAGAAUGAGCUGGCAUGGACGGUGGUGGUGGGUGACCACGAGCUGGGCAAGGCGGACCCUGGGGAGCGGGCAGUGCCUGUGCGACGCAUCGUGCCUCACCCCAAGUUCAAUCCCAAGACGUUUCAUGGGGACUUGGCGCUGCUGGAGCUGGCAGAGCCACUGGCACCAUCAGGCACCGUGAGCCCCGUGUGCCUGCCCAGUGGUACCACCGAGCCCAGGCCCGGCACCCCCUGUCACAUUGUGGGCUGGGGGUCCCUGUAUGAAGAGGGGCCGUCGGCAGAGGUGGUGAUGGAGGCACAGGUGCCCCUGCUCAGCCAGGAGACGUGUCGGGCAGCUCUGGGCAGAGAGCUGCUCACCAGCGCCAUGUUCUGUGCUGGAUAUCUGUCUGGGGGCAUCGAUUCCUGCCAGGGUGACUCGGGUGGUCCACUGGUGUGUCAGGACCCCUCCUCGUACCGCUUUGUCCUGUAUGGCAUCACCUCGUGGGGUGAUGGCUGUGGUGAGCGGGGUAAGCCAGGUGUCUACACUCGCGUGGCUGCCUUUGCCGACUGGCUCAGCCUGCAGAUGGACUCUGUUCCUGGCAGCUGGGAGCCAAGCUGCUUUGACCUGCUGGCCCUGUCCCAGCUGCCCCCUGAGCAGCAGCCCCUCGAGCACACCCGUCUCUGCUCCUUCUAUGCGGGGUCCUGCCGGGCUGCCCCAGGCCAAGCCAGCUGCACACACCUUGCCAAUGAGACGUGCCGUGCCCGGAUGAGGCGAUGCGAGCUGCAUUCCUACGCCCAGACUCUGGUGGGUCUCCUGCGCCGGGCUGGGGAUUUCAUCCGAAACCAGCUUGACUUCUCUUUCCUCACCCGCACCCUGCCCCAGCUCCUGGGCAAGAUCUAUGGUCAUCUCUUCCCUGUCCGCAUCCGUAGAGGUGCCCCAGACCCAGUGAUGGUCGAGCACCCCACAUCUGAGGGACCCCUGAGACCAACCCACAGGCAGCUGCCCACCUUCAGGGAGUUUUUUGGGUCUGUGGGGCCGCGGCUGCAGGACUGGGUGCAGGCUCUGAGGGCCACAGUGGGGGGCAGCACUCUGACACCCACCCCAGAUGGGGAGCAGCUCCCUGAGGAGACAUGGCUCUUCUUACAGCAGGGUGAGGAGCUGGUGAAGGAGCUGGUGGGACAGGGCAGAGCCUUCCUCACUCAGCUCCGGGCAGAGAUGGACCUUGACACACCGUUGGAGGCCAUGCAGGCACUCAGAGAGCCAACUGGAGAGCCAGUUGGGAACCUUGUGCAGAACUGGGCAUUGCACAGAGAGAAACGAGAGCUGGUGCCCACAAUGCCGGGGCUGGAGGAAGAGGGGCAGGAGGCAGGCACAGGCAGAGUUGCAGCUUGCCCCGGCCUCAAUGCUUCUGCACUGCGGGUUGGCGUGGUGCAGGAGCUCUACGCCUGGGUGCUGCAGGUGCCAGAGCCAGAUCUGGCCAUGACCUUCCAGGAGAUCCUGGUGGACCUGAGCUCCAAAAACACCAAGGGGUUGUACCGGGCGCAGGUGCGGGCCACGGUGGGCGGCCGGCCCACGGCUUUUGCUGGGCUGGUGGGGCUGGAGAGCGACUCGCUGGCACGCAGCAUGCCUGGCCUCGUGGCCUUGGCACUUGAGGCUCUGAAAACCUAGGGGUGCUGGCAGGGGAUGAGGAAUGACUCCUGUUCCCCAUGCACACCUCUUAUUUAUUUGUACAGAGAAAGGUUUAUUUUUCAAUAAAGAAAGGCUCUAUUUUCUGGUAGCUGGUGAGGAUGAAACAAGUGACGUGCCGAGCGGUGCCAGUGAGAGAACAGCACCCUGUGCCAUCCCAGUGAGGACCCUCACCAAAGCUCACACCAGUGUCAGACCACAUGUGCCAUAGGCACUGAUUAGGUGCCAGCACCUCCACGUCUCCCAGCAGCAUCUGCUGAGCAGUGAAGGGACUGCUCCUCCAAGCACUCAGGUGACAAGAUGGCACUGAGGGGUGGUGAGCCCAGCUGUUCCUGCCUGUCUCCCUUCUCUGGGCGUGGGGGUGCCGGAAGCAGGGGGGCCAGAGUGGGUAUCCGGAGCCGGCAGCCUUCCCCCCAGCACCUGGCACCAUCCAUCUCUGCGGCCGGACAUCCGCUCAGGCAGGCCAAGCAGGGAGGUGGCGAGGAGCUGGCACAGCACGAAGGCACCGCAGGCACCGCAUGGGGGACAUGGCAGUGCUGCUGGCCUUGUUUGGGGCACUGGUGCUGUCGGGUGAGCGGAGCCGUGGGGUUUGGGUACAAGGAUGCUGGGGGUCACUGCAGUGAGGUUGGGGCUGGGGUGGUGGUGUCUGUGUCCCAGAUGAGCACACGUGUAUCCUUAUAUGUCCUAGUCUAUGUCCAUGUGUGCAUCUACCCCCAUGCCCUAUGCCACGGCUUCUGCACUGGCAUCUUGUACUAGUUUGUCUCUACAUGUCUCUAUAUCCAUGUGUUUGUAUAUCCCUGUGUUUGUGUCCGUGCAUGCAUAUGUGUCCUCAUAAGUGUGCCAUUCCUGUGCACACGCACCACAUCUGGGUGCCCAUCU